UUUCUUUCUUCCUUUCUUUCUUUUUCUUUCUUUCUUUUUUUGGUUACACCCAUAGCAUGUGGAAAUUCCUGGGCCAGGGAUGGAACCCACGCCACAGCAGGGAACCAAGCCACUACAGAGACAACACUAGACCCUUAACCCACUGUGCCACAAGAGAACUCCCUAUGUAUGAUUUCUAAUUCAACUUCUUCUCCUCUCCUCUUUCUCCUAAUGACCGAGAUGUAUUGUCGUAUAUAUAUAUUGUAGGGUAUGGAAAAUCUGACAUAAGAAUUUUAAUACUUUAAGAGGUCCCCUUUUUAAGAGGGGCUUUUCCUUCAGUGUCUAGGACUCUGUAAGAGUUGCUCUGUAAGAGUUGACCUAGCAUUUGUGCUUCCAGGUAUAAUUCAAAAGAAUUGUAAACAGGGACUGAAUCACAUACUGGCACACCAGUGUUCACUGUAGUGUAAUCCAUAAUAGCCCAAAGAUGGAAACAACCCAGCGUCCACCAACAGAUAAAUGUGUGAACAAAAUGUGGUAUAUACAAAUGACAGAGUAGUAUUCAGCCAUAAAAAGAAAUGAAGUACAUGGAAACAGUAUAUUAAGCGAAAUGAGCCAGACAUAAAAAGAAAAACAUUGUAAGAUUUCACUCAUAUGAAAUAUCUAGAAUAGGCAAAUUCAUAGAAAUAAAAAGUAGAUUAUUACUGGUGGUCAGGGCCUGGGGGAUAGGAACUUAUAGUAUAAUGGUUAUAGAAUUUCUUUCUGGAGUGAUGGAAAAAGUUUGUUAAUAGCAGUGAUAGAUGGCCAACACUGUGAAUGCACUUAAUGCUGUUGAACUGCACACUUAAAAUUGUUUAAAUGGAUAUUUUUGUUAUAUAUAUUUUACCACAAUAAAAAUGUUCACAGGCACAUCAAAAACGAGUGGAAGGCAACUCCCCAGGGCAAGGGCCACCUCCUUCCCACUCCAUCCCUCUCCCUAACUGCCUUCUGUGAUCUUUCCUUUCCUCAUCACCUGACUCCCUCAAUAUCCAAUGAACAUCUGACCUCCAUUAAAGGAGAAUUUCCUGGGUUUCACUGCACAAGUGCAUCUGCUAUUCUCCAUACUUUGUAACACUUGUAUUAGCCACCACAUAGGCUAAUACUAAUCUACUGUUGAGUUAGUACCAUGUUACCACCAUGAAGCAGAGCAAAUAAUAAUUAGUAUAUAGCAACACACAGCCAUUUCCCCUCUGUGUGUGUGUGUUCAAACUAAAAAGAAUUAUUAUUUUAAAAAGAAAAAAUGCUAUCAAAUAUUUUCUACAACUCCAUUAGUUCUAAGAGGCCUCCCCCACGUCCCCCCCAAGUGUAACUUGAUACCAACCUUUCUGGAAAUCAGUGUAGCAGUGACUAUCAGACGCUUUAAAAAAAUAUGUAUACCCUUUAAUUCACCAAUCCCUCAUCCAAAAGAAGGACAAAGAUUUAUGCACAAAGCCACUGGGAACUAUGUCUGGUCACUUAUGAUGGAGCAUGAUAAUGGGAGAAAAAACAAUGUAUACAUGUAUGUGUAACUGGGUCACCUUGCUGUAUAGUAGAAAAUUGACAGAGCACUGUAAAUCAGCUACAAUGGAAAAAAACAAAAAUCAUUAUAUAUAUAAAAAAGAUUUAUGCACAAAGCUGUUUAUCAGUGUUAUCUGUAAUUGUAUAUAAUCAGAAACUACCUUGACUAAACCGUGGUGCAGCUAUACUAUCGAUGAUUAUGUAAGCCAUAAAAAAUGCAAUGACACAGAGUUCCCUUUGUGGCUCAGCUGUAAUGAACCCGACUAGUAUCCAUGAGUUUGUGGGUUUGAUCCCUGGCCUCGUUCAAAGGCUUAAGGAUCCGGUGUUGCCGUGAACUGAGGUGUAGGUCACGGAUGCAGCUCAGAUCCCGAGUUACCCAUGGCUAUGGUGUAGGCCAGCAGCUGCAGCGCCAAUUUGACCCACUAUCCUGGGAAAUUCUAUAUGCCAUGGUGCAGCCCUUAAAAGACAAAAAAGAAAAAAAAUGCAAUGACACUGACAAAUAUGUAUGUCUUAAUGUGAGCAUAAACAGCAGGAUGCAAAGUUGCAUGUACAUUAAUGAUCUCGAUUAUGAAAGAACAAAAUGAAUAAAACACUGGAAAGAAAUAUAUUACAAUGGUGUUGGAGUUGCUUCUAGUUAGGAAGAGUUUUCGUUUUUUGUUAUUUUUUAAAAUUUUUGUUAAAUUUCUUUUUGCAAUAAGCAUCUAUCACUGAUAAUCAGAGAAAAAAAAUAAUGGAAAAGCUGCCUUAAAUCCUUUCUGGUGUUAGAUGUGGUACCCCUCCCCCAGGACGCUGUUGGAAAAUGACAGUGGGACAUGAAAUGGAAAUUGCACAGUUAGUAGAAUUCUCCAGAAUGAUAGCCCUAGAAAAGAGGCAACAAGUCCCUAUCAUGCCACUGACCUUCCAGUUGAAGAACACUUUGGGGGAGAGAUUAAGGGUUAAGCAAAAAGUUAACAAAAAUGCUAAAAGGGGAAAGAAAACAUUUAGGUGGAUACUCUCCAUUUAGGUAUAAACCUAGAUAAUCCUUCAAGAUAUUCACACUUCUGGAGUUCCUGUCGUGGCACAGCAGAAACAAAUCCAGAUAGAAACCAUGAGGUCGUGGGUUCGAUCCCUGGCCUCACUCAGUGGGUUAAGGAUCCAGCAUUGCCAUGAGCUCUGUGGUGUAGGUUGCAGAUGCAGCUCAGAUCCCACGUUGCUGUGGCUCUGGGGUAGGCUGGCAGCUACAGCUUGAUUUAGACCCCUAGCUUGGGAACCUCCAUAUGCUGCAGGAGUGGCCCUAGAAAAGGCAAAAAGACAAAAAAAAAAAAAAAA
rnacentral:lncRNA from 1 species